rnacentral:rRNA from 1 species
UUGAACGCUAGCGGCAGGCCUAACACAUGCAAGUCGAGCGGAUGAAGGGAGCUUGCUCCCUGAUUCAGCGGCGGACGGGUGAGUAAUGCCUAGGAAUCUGCCUGGUAGUGGGGGACAACGUUUCGAAAGGAACGCUAAUACCGCAUACGUCCUACGGGAGAAAGCAGGGGACCUUCGGGCCUUGCGCUAUCAGAUGAGCCUAGGUCGGAUUAGCUAGUUGGUGAGGUAAUGGCUCACCAAGGCGACGAUCCGUAACUGGUCUGAGAGGAUGAUCAGUCACACUGGAACUGAGACACGGUCCAGACUCCUACGGGAGGCAGCAGUGGGGAAUAUUGGACAAUGGGCGAAAGCCUGAUCCAGCCAUGCCGCGUGUGUGAAGAAGGUCUUCGGAUUGUAAAGCACUUUAAGUUGGGAGGAAGGGUUGCUGAUUAAUACUCUGCAAUUUUGACGUUACCGACAGAAUAAGCACCGGCUAACUCUGUGCCAGCCGCCGCGGUAAUAC